AUUGAACGCUGGCGGCAGGCUUAACACAUGCAAGUCGAGCGGGGGAAGGUAGCUUGCUACCGGACCUAGCGGCGGACGGGUGAGUAAUGCUUAGGAAUCUGCCUAUUAGUGGGGGACAACAUCUCGAAAGGGAUGCUAAUACCGCAUACGUCCUAUGGGAGAAAGCAGGGGAUCUACGGACCUUGCGCUAAUAGAUGAGCCUAAGUCGGAUUAGCUAGUUGGUGGGGUAAAGGCCUACCAAGGCGACGAUCGGUAGCGGGGCUGAGAGGAUGGUCCGCCACACUGGAAACGAGACACGGGCCAGACUCCUACGGGAGGCAACAGUGGGGAAAAUUGGACAAAGGGGGGAAAGCCGGUCAAGGCAUGCCGGGGGUGUGAAGAAGGCCUUAUGGUUGUAAAGCACUUUAAGCGAGGAGGAGGCUACUCAAGUUAAUACCUAGGGAUAGUGGACGUUACUCGCAGAAUAAGCACCGGCUAACUCUGUGCCAGCCGCCGCCGUAAGAC
rnacentral:rRNA from 1 species